rnacentral:rRNA from 1 species
GACGAACGCUGGCGGCGUGCUUAACACAUGCAAGUCGAACGGAAAGGCCCUGCUUUUGUGGGGUGCUCGAGUGGCGAACGGGUGAGUAACACGUGAGUAACCUGCCCUUGACUUUGGGAUAACUUCAGGAAACUGGGGCUAAUACCGGAUAGGAGCUCCUGCUGCAUGGUGGGGGUUGGAAAGUUUCGGCGGUUGGGGAUGGACUCGCGGCUUAUCAGCUUGUUGGUGGGGUAGUGGCUUACCAAGGCUUUGACGGGUAGCCGGCCUGAGAGGGUGACCGGCCACAUUGGGACUGAGAUACGGCCCGGACUCCUACGGGAGGCAGCAGUGGGGAAUAUUGCACAAUGGGCGGAAGCCUGAGGCAGCAACGCCGCGUGCGGGAUGACGGCCUUCGGGUUGUAAACCGCUUUCGCCUGUGACGAAGCGUGAGUGACGGUAAUGGGUAAAGAAGCACCGGCUAACUACGUG